UCCAGUCACGCCAGCUCUGAUAUUUCGGGGUGUGACAGAUUGGUAUCAGAGCUAUAGGUUUCAGCGAAUUAGGUUUCUGUAGAGAUACCUAGGCUUUAACCUCACUAUCCUCUGGGGACUUAGAUAUCAAGAAUUGAACGCAUACAGAAUGCCUAAGACUCGAAUAUGGGUUCCAACCGUUGCCGAAAACAAUGAGUCAACAAUUUUGGUUUUAAACAAACACAAGUGUUGUGUUGAUACACGGUUCACGAAACAGAUUCAUACCUUUAGCAAAACUUUGAGAAUUUGGGAUAACAUGCAUUCUGGACAUUUGUAAAGCUUAUGUCGAACUCAUUAAAGGUCCUCACUUAGAAACCGUGACUAACAACUCGAGCAAACGCCAUUAUAUUAUGUCGUCUAUGCUAUUUCACUUACCUGAGCAGGUAACCUACGUGGAACAAAACGCUAGUGCACGAUGAUACCUGAAACUCAAACUAUACGUCAACGGAUGUCGGAGCACAUCACAUUCUACGCGGAACGAAACGCUAGUGCGCGAAUAUACGUGAAACUUAAACUAUACGUCAGCGGACGUCAGAGUAUAUCCCACACGACUCUCGAUGCAAGGCCUUUGAAAAUAUAAUUGGGCAUGACAACAACGAAGCUAAUCCCAUCAGCGAGAGAACUACAGGUCGAAAUGCGACAAAUUGCCACGUGAUCCUGCAAACGACACGAAUCACGCUGAGGUACGCUUAAACAAGAUUUCACAACAAUCGAUACUUAGUCUGAAGAGACUCACAAUGGUUGGCGCUGCAAAGGAAUUCACAUGUCUCCGCAUUUCCCACUACUUCAUUAAGGGCGACUAUGCUAUGUUCGACAUUCCAUGGUAAUGUCAUCUAACAACCGGCCAUUACAUGAAAUUCCAGGUAAAGUCCUUAAAUCCCUUUUGUUGAAAUUCUGACUUUUGCAUAUAGCGAGUAGACUUUCAUAUUUCUACUCCCCCUAAUGAUCCUUGCAUCACGAAAAUUUUCUUUCAUAAUAGCGAAUACUCAUUUGCUUCAUUCUUGACGAAUUCAUAUGUUACACAUGCGGUUUUUUGUUAAGCAUGUGGCUUCACUUGAAAUUGUUGCUUUAUCAAGUUCAAAUAUUAUUUCGCUAUCUUCACUCCCUGCAUUGUGAUCUAGCUAAACCACAUUAUUGCAUAAUGUUGACUCUUUGAUAUCGAGUCAACGAAACUCGUUGAAACUCCUUUCUUUUCAAGCUACAUACAUGGUUUUCGUUGUAACCAUGGCAAAACUUUCUUGUUGAUACAUGUAAUCAUUGUUGGAUUACGCUUAACCCAAGUUCAAUUGAUUGAACUUGUUCGUAAUAUAUAUUCGAUUCAAGAUUCCAUAUGAUGGAUUGAGGCCAUCAUAUUCGAAAUAAUCCUAACAAGCACUUCAUUUACUUUGAACUAUACCAUGCUUGUUUGGUCUUUGACUUCAUUGAAUCGUUUCUCUGAUCACGAUCACUUUGUGGUGGCGUCUUUCACAAGUCUGAAGCUUGUGCUAAUCUCGUUGCUCACAUUAUGUGCGGAAUUAAUUAUUUAUUUAUUUGUUAUUGAUAUUAAACUUGCCCUGUUGGUUUAUCAUAUUAAAGCAAUCUUAACACAAUCGUGUGUUAAGAUAAUGGUACACAAAUUUAUUUCAUUUUCCGGUGUACUUCUUAACGGUUCAUUCAUCAUAGAUCGAACAUUUUGCGAUAUUUAUUGCUCGUUCAUCUUCGAUCGAAAAACAUUAUUUAUUCAUUUCAUUUUCAAUUGAAAAUCCUAUGGGAUUUGUUUGGAACACCCACAUUUGUUUCGUUGAGCCUUCAUUUGAUUUAAAACACGGUGAUACUUGUUCGAUCACCGCUAUUAUUGAAUUGUUUUAUUCACUUCGGCAUCUUGUGGCGUCGGUAUAAACUUGUAGCUUGUGCUAAUCAUGAUCAAUCGCCUCAUGCGAAACUACGUAUGUUCUUUGUUUGACUAAUCACUCAAAUAGUCUUAAUGCAACUAUGUAUUAAGGCGAUGAUACACCCGGUUCGGUUGUAUUUCAUUUCGGUGUAUCUUGCAACACGUUGACUUUUAUUCAUUCAAUGGUUCGAUAAUUGAUAAAUCUUUUUUUUUUCUGAUUCUAUUUAUGUGAGUUUGUUGAAUUCGAGUUUCAUUUGUACAACAACCAACACAAGUUUUCGUUGGUAGUGAAUUCUAUUAUUUCAAAAAUUGAUUUGCAUAUUGUGAACAUUCGUUUGGAAUUCUACUGGUCGAAAUUCCUCUUUUGUUGGACCCCUGUAAACUUGGUCACAUUGGUGAUUGUAUCACUACGCUUCAUGAACAUGACAUCGAUUUCUGGAACAAACUCAGUUCAACCAUCGGGUUUUUAUUAAUGCAAAAUGUCUUUACACUCACGUAAUCCGAAUAAGUCUUGAUUCGAUUACGCGGUCAUUCGAUUUCGUAUUACCCGGACUUACCUAGGAACAACACAACUCUGAGGAGAUAACAUAAACUAAAUUUCGAGGACGAAAUUUCUGCAACAGGGGGAGAAUGUGACAACCGGUAAUUAACGGCUUCUAAUUACGCGAUUAACAAAAGUUUAAAGCGACAAUAAAUAGUGGUUAAGACGCAAAUUAACUUAAUUAGGCAUUUGGAGUGCCCAGGGACGUCUAUCCGACUUUACAGUACGCGUAUGAAGAUUCGCGUGGAAUCUGCAACAACGAACUGAUACCGUGCAAAAUACUGACAACGCCGACAAAUACGGAUUUUCUACGAAUAUUUUAUAAAUAUAAUUUUAUGAAUGUAUUGGGUUUCUGUGCGACACAAACGCAAACGUGAACUAAAAACGCGAUAGCAGGAAACGCAUCGGCAACGAAACGGAAGCGACAGAGGCGCUUGUCACCUUCAGAACUUACAUUUUACGCUAUAUUUAGCUCCGUAAUGGAAUUUUAGUAGUUACAGUCGAAAUCGGAUCGAAAAACGAAUUAGAAACGACCUCUUGAGCAAAUUUCACGAUUUUAACGCAACGGACGAACGAACGCGUCAACCGUCAACUUCCGACGCUAUUUUACAUAUCCUCGAUCCUAAAAUGACAUUGUACGACAUUACACGACGUUCCGGUGCAAAACGAGCUUUAGAAACGAGAUCGGGGGGUUCAAAAUGCUAGAAACGGGCUUGUGGGCCUUGUGCCCAAGCCCACAAAACCUUCACUAUAUAAAGGGUUUUACCCCUAAAAUCUUUCAUUUUCAUCUAAACUUUCUCUCUCUAACCCUCAAAUCCUCUCAACUCUCUCUCUCUAGAAACAAGUCCGGCGAGAAUUCCGGCCGACUUCCGGCGGAGAUCUGGCGACCGGCGACUUUUCCGGUGGAGUUCCGGCGACCGACGAUUUUCCGGCGAAUUUUCCGGCGGCCGUUUUUCGGCCAAGAGUACACUUUUUCGACUAUAUCCGACGUUCCGGAUCGCGUGGUGAGAUGCUUAGAUCGGGACUUGAGGAGCAUUUCUGCAAAUUUUCAAGAAAUUUUAUUCUCCGGCGAAAUUCCGACUUCUGACAUGGUUUUGGCGAGGUUCCAGCCGUCCGUUUUCGACGAAAAUUAUAUUUUUGGGCUCCUAAUGACCCGUAGAGUCCAUACGAAACACUUUCGUCUCGGGUGAAAAUUUAAGUUCGGGACGCUCUCGGGCUCGGGUCAACACGGUCAACAGGUCAAACACGGGUCAAGAGGCAGUUUUGGGUCAUUUUUAGUGCCUCGGUUCAGUUUCGGGUCCGGUCAACCCUGGUCAACACGGGUCAAACGUGGUCAAAGCUGGUCAAAGGUGGUCAAAGCUGCUCAAAUUCAGUCAACUGCUGGUCAACGCAGUCAACUCAGUCAACACGAAGCUCGGAAUGCUAUAGUUGCACGCUAGCUACUUCACAUUCUUGGAACGACACUACAGAAUCACGUUAAGCUAGCUUUGCACAGGAAUGUCAAGGUGAGUUCAUAACCCCCACUUUUUACUGUUUUACAUUUUUUAUAAAUGUUUUCGGGGGUGGAAAGACAUGCAAGUUUUGCAAAAAUAAACAACUUUUCGAUGAACGAAAACUCAUAUUUAUAAACCGUGUUGCGAAUGAAUUUCAAGGAACUUAAAUGGUUUACGAAUGAGUUCGAUCAAACAUACCGGUUUUACAAAUUUGAUUUGCAUAUUACGAAACGUGCAUGAUUUUCUAAUGGGUACGGGCGACACAGUCGAGGUGAUUCGACACAGUCGAGGUGAUUCGACACAGUCGAGGGGAUUCGACACAGUCGAGGUUAUUCGACACAGUCGAGGUGAUUCGACACAGUCGAGGUUAUUCGACACAGUCGAGGUGAUUCGACACAGUCGACGUGAUUCGUCACAGUCGACGUGAUUCGACAUAGUCGAGGUGAUUCGACACUAAAAACCGUCUACACGGGUUGAGUACAUCCUAUGUCGCCGCAUACGUUAAUGUCCUCGCGAAACAUUAACGAUCAACCUGUUCAUAGACGCUUUACAUACCCAUUUACAACACUAAAACUUUCAUAUAUUCAUAAUAUUCAUUUGAUGGAAACUCACAAAUACAUGAAUUACAAAUUUUGUAACGUUUUUCAAGUUAUACCUAAGUAAGAGGAAGCGCUGAUCCUGCUUACAAAGGUUCGUCUGGGCUCGGCCCAUUCUCUCUCGUGCAAUGCACCAACACUCUCGUGGGCUAGACCCACAGUUCUCAUAUAUCAUGCCAAGAAAAUGAUUUUACUAUAUUUUCUCAACAACUUUAAACCGGUUACCAAAAAGAUUUAUUUUAAAUCUUUUCAAAGCAAACUAUGAACUCGCUCAACUUUAUGUUGACUUUUUCGCAUGUUCUUUCUCACGUUGCAUUUUUCAAAACUACGGAACGGUUGGAAUAGGAUAACCCACGGGAUUUCGAGUACUUAGCAGGCGUUUAAUUUCUAGAAGUCUUAGCUUAUUUGCUUCCGCUGUGCAAUGAAGAUACCGGUCCAGUCACGCCAGCUCUGAUAUUUCGGGGUGUGACAGAUUGGUAUCAGAGCUAUAGGUUUCAGCGAAUUAGGUUUCUGUAGAGAUACCUAGGCUUUAACCUCACUAUCCUCUGGGGACUUAGAUAUCAAGAAUUGAACGCAUACAGAAUGCCUAAGACUCGAAUAUGGGUUCCAACCGUUGCCGAAAACAAUGAGUCAACAAUUUUGGUUUUAAACAAACACAAGUGUUGUGUUGAUACACGGUUCACGAAACAGAUUCAUACCUUUAGCAAAACUUUGAGAAUUUGGGAUAACAUGCAUUCUGGACAUUUGUAAAGCUUAUGUCGAACUCAUUAAAGGUCCUCACUUAGAAACCGUGACUAACAACUCGAGCAAACGCCAUUAUAUUAUGUCGUCUAUGCUAUUUCACUUACCUGAGCAGGUAACCUACGUGGAACAAAACGCUAGUGCACGAUGAUACCUGAAACUCAAACUAUACGUCAACGGAUGUCGGAGCACAUCACAUUCUACGCGGAACGAAACGCUAGUGCGCGAAUAUACGUGAAACUUAAACUAUACGUCAGCGGACGUCAGAGUAUAUCCCACACGACUCUCGAUGCAAGGCCUUUGAAAAUAUAAUUGGGCAUGACAACAACGAAGCUAAUCCCAUCAGCGAGAGAACUACAGGUCGAAAUGCGACAAAUUGCCACGUGAUCCUGCAAACGACACGAAUCACGCUGAGGUACGCUUAAACAAGAUUUCACAACAAUCGAUACUUAGUCUGAAGAGACUCACAAUGGUUGGCGCUGCAAAGGAAUUCACAUGUCUCCGCAUUUCCCACUACUUCAUUAAGGGCGACUAUGCUAUGUUCGACAUUCCAUGGUAAUGUCAUCUAACAACCGGCCAUUACAUGAAAUUCCAGGUAAAGUCCUUAAAUCCCUUUUGUUGAAAUUCUGACUUUUGCAUAUAGCGAGUAGACUUUCAUAUUUCUACUCCCCCUAAUGAUCCUUGCAUCACGAAAAUUUUCUUUCAUAAUAGCGAAUACUCAUUUGCUUCAUUCUUGACGAAUUCAUAUGUUACACAUGCGGUUUUUUGUUAAGCAUGUGGCUUCACUUGAAAUUGUUGCUUUAUCAAGUUCAAAUAUUAUUUCGCUAUCUUCACUCCUUGCAUUGUGAUCUAGCUAAACCACAUUAUUGCAUAAUGUUGACUCUUUGAUAUCGAGUCAACGAAACUCGUUGAAACUCCUUUCUUUUCAAGCUACAUACAUGGUUUUCGUUGUAACCAUGGCAAAACUUUCUUGUUGAUACAUGUAAUCAUUGUUGGAUUACGCUUAACCCAAGUUCAAUUGAUUGAACUUGUUCGUAAUAUAUAUUCGAUUCAAGAUUCCAUAUGAUGGAUUGAGGCCAUCAUAUUCGAAAUAAUCCUAACAAGCACUUCAUUUACUUUGAACUAUACCAUGCUUGUUUGGUCUUUGACUUCAUUGAAUCGUUUCUCUGAUCACGAUCACUUUGUGGUGGCGUCUUUCACAAGUCUGAAGCUUGUGCUAAUCUUAAAUGGUUUACGAAUGAGUUCGAUCAAACAUACCGGUUUUACAAAUUUGAUUUGCAUAUUACGAAACGUGCAUGAUUUUCUAAUGGGUACGGGCGACACAGUCGAGGUGAUUCGACACAGUCGAGGUGAUUCGACACAGUCGAGGGGAUUCGACACAGUCGAGGUUAUUCGACACAGUCGAGGUGAUUCGACACAGUCGAGGUUAUUCGACACAGUCGAGGUGAUUCGACACAGUCGACGUGAUUCGUCACAGUCGACGUGAUUCGACAUAGUCGAGGUGAUUCGACACUAAAAACCGUCUACACGGGUUGAGUACAUCCUAUGUCGCCGCAUACGUUAAUGUCCUCGCGAAACAUUAACGAUCAACCUGUUCAUAGACGCUUUACAUACCCAUUUACAACACUAAAACUUUCAUAUAUUCAUAAUAUUCAUUUGAUGGAAACUCACAAAUACAUGAAUUACAAAUUUUGUAACGUUUUUCAAGUUAUACCUAAGUAAGAGGAAGCGCUGAUCCUGCUUACAAAGGUUCGUCUGGGCUCGGCCCAUUCUCUCUCGUGCAAUGCACCAACACUCUCGUGGGCUAGACCCACAGUUCUCAUAUAUCAUGCCAAGAAAAUGAUUUUACUAUAUUUUCUCAACAACUUUAAACCGGUUACCAAAAAGAUUUAUUUUAAAUCUUUUCAAAGCAAACUAUGAACUCGCUCAACUUUAUGUUGACUUUUUCGCAUGUUCUUUCUCACGUUGCAUUUUUCAAAACUACGGAACGGUUGGAAUAGGAUAACCCACGGGAUUUCGAGUACUUAGCAGGCGUUUAAUUUCUAGAAGUCUUAGCUUAUUUGCUUCCGCUGUGCAAUGAAGAUACCGGUCCAGUCACGCCAGCUCUGAUAUUUCGGGGUGUGACAGAUCGAGACUGAGAUUUACACAGCGGGGCUAGUGGUGGUUGAAAAACCCACUCUUGUAGGGUUUUGGCAGGUGAUUGCGGGGGCGGAUCAUUGGGAGCACGAAAAGUCGAAGGGGAGGGUGUCGUUUGUUAGGGACCCACUAUACAGGUAUCUGCACCAUUUGCUCGCCACUUCUAUUUCAGCGCGCGGCUACAGCCGUGAGUGGUGUACGACCACAGAUCUUUUUUUCCUUUACUGUUUGUUGUAUAGGAGGCCGUGCGCGCUAGCACACGGUCUAGCCCAGUACUUCGCCUCCGGCCAUCACCGGCAGGAGCGCGGAUUUUUGUAUGGCGGGGCGUACGUGACCGUCAUUGCCCGUUCAUUGGGCCUCGUACCACACCAGGACCCACAUCUACGGACGCCGGCCAUCAUGCCGACGCGGAUGGGUAUGCAGUCGCUAUGGGGGAUGAGGGUUAUCAGGAGGUUCCCCAUUGGCCCGCGGUUUAAAAACCGCGAAGGGGGCGUAUGGACAGAGCAGGCCUUACCAGAGCAUUUCGAGCCCGUUCAUCCUCCUGCAGAUCCUGCUGAUGUAGUGCCCGUGGAGGACCCUCCGGAGGAUCUAGACGGUGCAGCGGAGCCACAGCCACCGCCACCUGCCGGGGCACCUCAGUUUCCACGUCACGUUAUUCGAGGUCGUGCCCCAGGAGCUGCGCUACAUCCGGAUGUACGAGCCAGGCUUGACAGGCUCGACGAUUUGGUAGGUUGGCUGGUACGGGCGGAGCAGGAUAGACGAGAGAGAGAGGGAUUACCCCCGAUACCGCUUCCACCGGUUCGAGCGCCACAUCAGGAGCACCAGCCGCAGCAGCAGCAUCAGGAUUCAGAUUCGGAUUUGGAUGCAUAGACCUGUUGUUGUUUUUAUUGUUAUUAUGGAUGUACAAACUUAUCUUAUAUAUUUUUGUUAUGGAUGUAAACAGUUAUCUUAUAUAUGUCAUAUUUAUGUUUGUUUUCAG